AAAUAAAAUGAAUUCGCAGUCAGCAGGAUUCGAACCUACGCGGGCAGAGCCCAAUUGAUUUCGAGUCAAUCUCCUUAACCACUCGGACAUGACUGCACGUUUUG
rnacentral:tRNA from 1 species